rnacentral:rRNA from 1 species
UACAGAGGUCCCAAGCGUUGUUCGGAUUUACUGGGCGUAAAGGGUGCGUAGGUGGCGGGGUAAGUUUGAUGUGAAAUCUCCGGGCUUAACCCGGAAACUGCAUUGAAUACUAUUCUGCUCGAGGGUUGGAGGGGGGACUGGAAUACUUGGUGUAGCAGUGAAAUGCGUAGAUAUCAAGUGGAACACCAGUGGCGAAGGCGAGUCCCUGGACAACUCCUGACACUAAGGCACGAAAGCUAGGGGAGCAAACAGG